AACUGCAGAUGCAUGCAACAUGCUAGUAUUUAUAUUUCCCUCGUCAGGGGUCGGGUGGUCACAGUUAAUUUGCAGUACAUUGAAGCAACUAUAGGCUAUAGUUACCGUGGCAUGCAUAUAAUAUAAUUGCAAGAUUAAGAAAGAAAUCACACAUGGGUUAUAGUUAAUUAGUGAUUAGAGUUGUACUCAAAUGGAGCGUACUUGGGGGGGG
rnacentral:misc_RNA from 1 species